rnacentral:rRNA from 1 species
UGGGGAAUUUUGGACGAUGGGCGAAAGCCUGAUCCAGCAAUGCCGCGUGAGUGAAGAAGGCCUUCGGGUUGUAAAGCUCUUUUGUCAGGGAAGAAACGGUGAAAGCUAAUAUCUUUUGCUAAUGACGGUACCUGAAGAAUAAGCACCGGCUAACUACGUGCCAGCAGCCGCGGUAAUACGUAGGGUGCAAGCGUUAAUCGGAAUUACUGGGCGUAAAGCGUGCGCAGGCGGUUUUGUAAGUCUGAUGUGAAAUCCCCGGGCUCAACCUGGGAAUUGCAUUGGAGACUGCAAAGGCUAGAAUCUGGCAGAGGGGGGUUAGAAUUCCACGUGUAGCAGUGAAAUGCGUAGAUAUGUGGAGGAACACCGAUGGCGAAAGGCAGCCCCCUGGGUCAAGAUUGACGCUCAUGCACGAAAGCGUGGGGAGCAAACAGGAUUAGAUACCCUGGUAGUCCACGCCCUAAAACGAUGUCUACUAGUUGUCGGGUCUUAAUUGACUUGUAACGCAGCUAACGCGUGAAGUAGACCGCCUGGGGAGUAC